GACGAACGCUGGCGGCGUGCUUAACACAUGCAAGUCGAACGGAAAGGCUCCAGCUUGCUGGAGUACUCGAGUGGCGAACGGGUGAGUAACACGUGGGUAAUCUGCCCUGCACUCUGGGAUAAGCCUGGGAAACUGGGUCUAAUACUGGAUAUGACCUUUCUCCUUAUGGGGUUUGGUGGAAAGUUUUUCGGUGUAGGAUGAGCCCGCGGCCUAUCAGCUUGUUGGUGGGGUGAUGGCCUACCAAGGCGACGACGGGUAGCCGGCCUGAGAGGGUGAUCGGCCACAUUGGGACUGAGAUACGGCCCAGACUCCUACGGGAGGCAGCAGUGGGGAAUAUUGCACAAUGGGCGGAAGCCUGAUGCAGCGACGCCGCGUGAGGGAUGACGGCCUUCGGGUUGUAAACCCCUUUCAGCAGGGACGAAGCGUAAGUGACGGUACCUGCAGAAGAAGCACCGGCUAACUACGUG
rnacentral:rRNA from 1 species